rnacentral:rRNA from 1 species
CGGCGGACGGGUGAGUAACGCGUGGGUAACCUGCCUCAUACAGGGGGAUAACAGUUGGAAACGGCUGCUAAUACCGCAUAAGCGCACAGUACCGCAUGGUACCGUGUGAAAAACUCCGGUGGUGUGAGAUGGAUCCGCGUCUGAUUAGGUAGUUGGUGGGGUAACGGCCCACCAAGCCGACGAUCAGUAGCCGACCUGAGAGGGUGACCGGCCACAUUGGGACUGAGACACGGCCCAA